CCCCUAAAGCACUUUGCUUGCUGAAAUGCUUAGUGGGUGAAAGGUGUAACUUCUUUUUUUAAUUUUUCAAAAUUUCAUUAGAAAUCAGCACUUUUAUUAAUUAGCCUUGUAACACCCCCUGGCUAUGUUACUUCCUGGUUUGGGUAGCUCAGUGGAGCUAACCUCAAGGGGCAGGCAAUUGCUUUGAUCACAUUCCUUGCAAAGGAAGCAUCAAACUGACAUGACCACUUUGAGAAGGGUGCAUGUCAUUGAUGAUGACACAACACACCAUCUCAUAUUGUGCUACUUACUCUUGUGCUACGCCAUUAAAUGCCCAGACCAUUUCUUUUGCCCUAGUCUGGCCCUAGUUGUAGUGGUUAUAAUGCUUGGAGUGUUUUUUUUUUUUUUUUUUAAAGUUUAAUUGCACUGGUGUGUGAAGGUGCUUUUAAAUGUG